UUCCGCUGCCUUGUCUUGCUGCUGCUUAGCUACCAGUCAGUUUUUUUUUAUUAUUUCAUGAGCCUUUCCCAUCGUCUGGGUGACUGGCUGAAUUCUCCUGAUAUUUUCUUUGUGCUCAGCACCAUGGUUUUCGGCUCUUCUGAAUCCCACAAACACGAGUCUCCUGGGUGGUGGAGGAGAUUAUCAUUUCUCCCUAUACCUCCUCUCGCCCCCUCCACUCCUCCACCACCGGCAGAUUAGAUGUACACCCCUCUGCUCCCCCGCUUCCAGAGCCCACUCCUUCCCCACUCUUGCCUCUCAAUGGUGGAAUGACCUACCCACGGAUAUCAUGACUGCUGCGUCCCUGACUUCCUUCUGGCGCCUCCUCAAGACACAUCUGUUCAGACAGCAUCUGUAAAUCUCACAAGUCUUGACUAUACUGGACUAUAUGACAUCCAAUUAUACCUGUACUUGCACUACCUUGUACUUGCAUUGAACUGCUCCAUACCUUGCCAUAUUCUAC